UCAAUUUCAAUGAAAGAGUAAAGCCGAAAAAAAAGAGAGAGCGAACAAAAUGUACGUGUGAAUUUUUCGUUUCGUUUCGUUUUCUGCAUCUUAUGGGGGCCAACGCUGAAAUGUCACGCAUGAAUAAUAUGUCAGAAUUGACAAUCAAAGUGAAGGUCAUACGAAUAACUAAUGCAUAUUGAGUGAUGCUGUCUAUCUCUGCUCUUGCAUCGAUUCCAUCGGCUGGCGUCUCGCGCAUCCAUGGAAACAAAAAGCAAUAAACAUAACCCGGCACACUCGUUCACAACCAAAAGCAGAGCCGAAAAAAAGAGGAACGAACAAAUAUUCUAUGUAUCGACAUAAAGAAAUAUGGAUUAAAUGCACGUGCGAGUUCGAUCUAGAAGAGAUUAUACGAAAAUGAGCGGAAGAGGAGAAAAAGGAAUGGAGUGGGAAUAAAUGAAACGCUUCUGACUUUCAAAUUGGAAUAUUCAUUUUAGUGGAAAAACGGAAAAACGAAGAAAAAUUGUUUCGCAUCAAAUCCAAAAGUUGAAUUUAUUCAUUUUAUUAAGGUAGAAAACAAGGAGUCGGAAUACCAGAGAGUAAUAAACAUCAUUUCAUUUGUCAUUUUCUGACUCUCAAACGACUCUCUUCCUUUUGCUCUCAUCCAAGGCACCAAGGCUGCAAUAAUAGGGCAAAAAAAAUGCUUUGUGCUUGUUUAAGCGUCUCGAUUCAGGUAGUUCGAUGAACACAUUCAACCCUCUGGUUGUUAUCAUCGUCGUUGUCGUCGGUUGGGCUUAGUUUUGCAUAAUUUAUUUGCAUUUCAUCGCAUUUAUUUGAAAAUCAUGUUUCAUAAUUGCUUUUCAGUUCAGAAUAUCCAACCAUAUUUUUUUCGCUCAAUCUCAGCAUCAGAACUCUCUUCAGAGCACAGAAAAAAACCACGAGAAAAAAGAGUAACACGCACAGGCACAUCCAUGAUGAAGUUUUUCCCUUUAUCGUGUGCAACAAACGUUCGGUUGGUUAGAGAUGGGUAAACUUUAAAAGUGGCAUUUAAAACGUGUUGCAUUCGAAAAAGCGAACAAACAAAAACGACAUUUUCGCCAAACUUAACCAAACACUUUCGCAUUUUCUCUUUCUAUUUGCUUUGCACCGAAUGGGAUUCGAAUUCGGUUCAUUUAACAGAUUCACAUUUCAUUUUAGUUCUCGGUUUAUUGUGAAAAAUCUGCUCCGAUUGAAGCCAUGUUUUUAAUCAAAUUCCCCAAAAUGUUGAUUGUUUCCAUAGCAAAUGAAUGCUAGACAUUGUUAAAUAUGCAGCAGCAGAGAGAAAGACAGAGAGAGCGUUCUUUAUUGUGUUAGGUAAAACUAUGCCAUUUAUUUAAUAAGACAAAAUGUCCCGAUAUUUGGAGUACGCCACACACACAUAUAGACACAUACACCAGAAACCAUAUAGUCCUCAUCCAUAUUCCAUGAGUGUGCAAUGCAUAAAGCAUGCAAAAAUCAUCGUUCUAUAUAGAAUUUGUGUGAAAAUUUCGAAUAAGUACGGCUACUGAACGAGUAUAAGAAGCGGAAAGGCGAUUAGAUAUUAUAACGUAUGUAUGAGCACAUCUCCUUAUGCUAUCAUACGGGAUUAAUAUCGUCUCGUUCUGUGUGUAUGUGUGUCUGUCUGUCUCUCUUUCUCUCAAACACUCUUCCUUUGUGGUGCAUGAGCAAAUGCAAUUCGGAUUCCAUUUGAUAAAAUAUGUCACAGGCACUCCAAACGAUAAUAUGCUGGUUGUGCAAAAACGACUGGAAAAUCCGGUCUCUCCAUUUUUUUUCCUCUUCUCUCUUCUUUUUUUUCAUACUGAAAUGGUUUCGACAUUCCGGACAAAUGAUCCAGAGUUCGAUGUGCAAAUAAGAUACCCGGUUGAAUAUACACAUACCAUUUAAUGGACCAAGAUGUUUAACGCAAUUUCCCAGAUUUCAUUGUGAACCAUUUCUUGUUUGAUUAUCAAUGAAAUUAUCUCAUUUGCACGCUAUUUGCUUCUUCAGCAAUAUUCAUUUUCGAGAAUGUUAUUUCCGUUUAUUUUCUUCUUCGAUAAUGUUCACAUCGGAAAAUGCUACCGAGCAUAUGCUGCCUAAAUGUUAACCAUUUUAAUGGCGAAAAAAACAACAACUUUCCAACCCAAGCGAAAAAAAUUCGAUCGAUCGAAACGUUGUUUCGACGACCCAAAGAAAGAAAAGAAAAGAAAUGGCAAUAGAUGCAUUAGCAGCGAAUUAGAAAUUAAUUUAAUGAUUUGGCGCGAAUGCCAAAAUUUCACGAGUGAACGAGUUAAAAAAAAAGCGAUGAAACUACUUACCAAAGUGGCGGGAACAAAUGUUGGAACUGUUUCAAAGUAGCCUAUCGUGCUUGUAUACGAUCGCACCAAAAAAUACACGCCGAGGAACAUAGUGCCAAGUAGACAUGAUAGACCGCCGCAUAUUAAGCACCAAACAACAUAUUUUCGAAUGCCAGCUCGCGGUGACACUAAGAGAGAGGCGAAGAUUCGAUGUGGAAUAGAGAGAAAAAGAGUGAGAUAAAACAAUGAAACCAAAAUGGAAAAUGAUAAAAUGCAAAUCGCAUAGCAGGCGGAAUAUAUAGACAUAUAUACCAAACGACGAUGAAAAAGAAAAUGAUUGUAAAAUGUUGUAAAAUCCAUGCAGAAGGAAAAAAAAACAAAUCCCAAGACCGUCAUAAGCAUGCAUUGCAUAAAGAUGGAUUGUUUCCUUUACUUUUCGUAUUCGUUUUUUUUAUGUUCGGUCGCUUUGUUGUCAUCGUUUUGUGUGCAAAGACAUUUAUCGAAGUGCUCAAGCGAAUGCUCGAAAGAUUUCUGGGACAAAAAUGUAAAUCCAACCGAAAAAUGCAGCAAGCAAUGAAAAAGAAAACCUAAUGGCAGCCAAAAGAGAUAGUGAUAGAGAAAUCAAAGCGCCAGCAUUCAUCGGAACUGAAGAAAUAUUUUCAAGUCGGACGACAGCAACCGAAAAAAAAUGAAAUAUAACAUAGUAAUAGCAUAAUUGGCAAAGGCCAUAAGAGACGCGAAGCGACGCAAACAUACUGGAAUAUUAACCCAUUAACGCAUUGAAAACCCCGAGCAUCACAAGGUAUACUUUGACAAUUUUUUCACAUCAUACUACCUCAUGUGUCUGGUGAAUGAAAAACGAUUAUGUGCAACGGGAACUGUACGCAAACAACUGAAGCGUGGAGAGACUGAUUUCGUGCUCGAUACUACAAACAAGAUUUUGAUGCGUCGUUGGUCAGACAACAAAGAUGUUACUCUUUGUACAAACAUCGAUCAAUUGACUAGAUAAAUCUUCUCGAAUAGGAAAAUAUCCCGUUAUUUACUUUCUGAAUAAAAAACACUAUAUGUGAAAUUACUUGACUUCAUUUCUUUUCGCGGCUAUGAAAUCCAUACUGACGAUAUUUUUCGACCUGUCCUAGUGGUCAUGCACACAACACACGUUGAGCGGUCAAUAUAUACACACACUACAGACACGCUAUCAAAGGAUUUAUACGGUUUGCGCGAA